GCCGAAGUGGCUCAGUUGGUAGAGCAACGCAUUCGUAAUGCGUGGGUCACGGGUUCGAGUCCCGUCUCCGGCU
rnacentral:tRNA from 1 species